rnacentral:rRNA from 1 species
UACGUACGAGGCGAGCGUUAUCCGGAAUUACUGGGAGUAAAGCGCGCGCAGGUGGCCAAUUAAGUCCGCUGUGAAAUCUCCCGGCCCAACUGGGAGGGGCCAGUGGAUACUGGAUGGCUUGAGGACAGCAGAGGUCGGUGGAAUUCCUGGUGUAGUGGUGAAAUGCGUAGAGAUCAGGAGGAACACCGGUGGCGAAGGCGGCCGACUGGGCUGUCUCUGACGCUGAGGCGCGAAAGCUCGGGGAGCGAACGGG